GGUUCAGGAUGAACGCUAGCGGCAGGCCUAACACAUGCAAGUCGCGGGGCAGCACGGGUAGCAAUACCUGGUGGCGACCGGCGCACGGGUGCGUAACGCGUAUGCAACCUGCCCCCAUCAGGGGAAUAGCCCGCCGAAAGGCGGAUUAAUGCCCCAUAGGCCCAGGGCGCCGCAUGGCGCUAUGGGUAAAGCUCCGGCGGAUGGGGAUGGGCAUGCGUGCCAUUAGCUAGUUGGGGCGGUAACGGCGCACCAAGGCGACGAUGGCUAGGGGGUCUGAGAGGAUGGUCCCCCACACUGGUACUGAGACACGGACCAGACUCCUACGGGAGGCAGCAGUGAGGAAUAUUGGUCAAUGGGCGGAAGCCUGAACCAGCCAAUGCCGCGUGCAGGAUGACGGCCCUACGGGUUGUAAACUGCUUUUCCCCGGGAAGAAUAAGCCCCGCGUGAGGGGUGAUGCCGGUACCGGGGGAAUAAGGAUCGGCUAACUCCGUGCCAGCCGCCGC
rnacentral:rRNA from 1 species